GACGAACGCUGGCGGCGUGCCUAAUACAUGCAAGUUGAGCGCUGAAGGUUGGUACUUGUACCAACUGGAUGAGCAGCGAACGGGUGAGUAACGCGUGGGGAAUCUGCCUUUGAGCGGGGGACAACAUUUGGAAACGAAUGCUAAUACCGCAUAAAAACUUUAAACACAAGUUUUAAGUUUGAAAGAUGCAAUUGCAUCACUCAAAGAUGAUCCCGCGUUGUAUUAGCUAGUUGGUGAGGUAAAGGCUCACCAAGGCGAUGAUACAUAGCCGACCUGAGAGGGUGAUCGGCCACAUUGGGACUGAGACACGGCCCAAACUCCUACGGGAGGCAGCAGUAGGGAAUCUUCGGCAAGGGACGAAAGUCUGACCGAGCAACGCCGCGUGAGUGAAGAAGGUUUUCGGAUCGUAAAACUCGGUUGGUAGAGAAGAACGUUGGUGAGAGUGGAAAGCUCAUCAAGUGACGGUAACUACCCAGAAAGGGACGGCUAACUACGUG
rnacentral:rRNA from 1 species